GCAAGUCGAGGGGUAACGGAAGUAGCUUGCUACUAGACGACGACCGGCGCACGGGUGAGUAACGCGUAUGUAAUCUGCCUUGUACAGAGGGAUAGCCCAGAGAAAUUUGGAUUAAUACCUCAUAGUAUUACUGAAUCGCAUGAUUUGGUAAUUAAAGCUCCGGCGGUACAAGAUGAACAUGCGUGACAUUAGCUAGUUGGUAAGGUAACGGCUUACCAAGACGAUGAUGCUUAGGGGUUCUGAGAGGACAAUC
rnacentral:rRNA from 1 species